UUUCUUUCUUCUUCUUCCAUUUGUUCUGCUUCUUCUUCUUGCCCUUUUUCUUUUUGUUCUUCUUCUUCUUCCCUCCGGAAGAGCGGUCAGACUUUUCGAGCAUGUCAAAUGCCGCAUCUAAGGAAUCCAAA
rnacentral:ribozyme from 13 species